CAGAUGCUAAUACCGCAUGAAACCUAACACCGCAUGGUGUAGGGUUGAAAGAUGGUUUCGGCUAUCACUUUAGGAGUGGACCCGCGGUGCAUUACGUUAGUUGGUGAGGUAAAGGCUCACCAAGACCGUGAUGCAUAGCCGACCUGAGAGGGUAAUCGGCCACACUGGGACUGAGACACGGCCCAGACUCCUACGGGAGGCAGCAGUAGGGAAUCUUCCACAAUGGACGAAAGUCUGAUGGAGCAACGCCGCGUGAGUGAAGAAGGUUUCGGAUCGUAAAACUCUGUUGUUGGAGAAGAAUGUAUCUGAUAGUAACUGAUCAGGUAGUGACGGUAUCCAACCAGAAAGCCACGGCUAACUACGUG
rnacentral:rRNA from 1 species